rnacentral:rRNA from 1 species
UGAACGCUGGCGGCGUGCUUAACACAGGCAAGUCGAACGAAACACCUUAUUUGAUUUUCUUCGGAACUGAAGAUUUGGUGAUUGAGUGGCGGACGGGUGAGUAACGCGUGGGUAACCUGCCCUGUACAGGGGGAUAACAGUCAGAAAUGACUGCUAAUACCGCAUAAGACCACAGCACCGCAUGGUGCAGGGGUAAAAACUCCGGUGGUACAGGAUGGACCCGCGUCUGAUUAGCUGGUUGGUGAGGUAACGGCUCACCAAGGCGACGAUCAGUAGCCGGCUUGGGAGAGUGAACGGCCACAUUGGGACUGAGACACGGCCCAAACUCCUACGGGAGGCAGCAGUGGGGAAUAUUGCACAAUGGGGGAAACCCUGAUGCAGCGACGCCGCGUGAGUGAAGAAGUAUUGCGGUAUGUAAAGCUCUAUCAGCAGGGAAGAAAAUGACGGUACCUGACUAAGAAGCCCCGGCUAACUACGUG